AUGAACGCUGGCGGCGUGCUUAACACAUGCAAGUCGAACGGUAGAGGGGCAACCCUUGAGAGUGGCGAACGGGUGAGUAAUAUAUCGGAACGUGCCCAGUCGUGGGGGAUAACGCAGCGAAAGCUGCGCUAAUACCGCAUACGAUCUAUGGAUGAAAGCGGGGGAUCGCAAGACCUCGCGCGAUUGGAGCGGCCGAUAUCAGAUUAGGUAGUUGGUGGGGUAAAAGCCCACCAAGCCGACGAUCUGUAGCUG
rnacentral:rRNA from 1 species